GGGUCGUUAGCUCAGUUGGUAGAGCGCUUCGUUUACACCGAAGAUGUCGGGAGUUCGAGUCUCUCACGACCCA
rfam:Rhodobacteraceae bacterium HLTCCO07 ITZY_scaf_22, whole genome shotgun sequence.